rnacentral:rRNA from 1 species
UGGGGAAUAUUGGACAAUGGGCGCAAGCCUGAUCCAGCCAUGCCGCGUGAGUGAUGAAGGCCCUAGGGUUGUAAAGCUCUUUCACCGGUGAAGAUAAUGACGGUAACCGGAGAAGAAGCCCCGGCUAACUUCGUGCCAGCAGCCGCGGUAAUACGAAGGGGGCUAGCGUUGUUCGGAUUUACUUGGCGUAAAGCGCACGUAGGCGGACUAUUAAGUCAGGGGUGAAAUCCCGGGGCUCAACCCCGGAACUGCCUUUGAUACUGGUAGUCUUGAGUUCGAGAGAGGUGAGUGGAAUUCCGAGUGUAGAGGUGAAAUUCGUAGAUAUUCGGAGGAACACCAGUGGCGAAGGCGGCUCACUGGCUCGAUACUGACGCUGAGGUGCGAAAGCGUGGGGAGCAAACAGG